CAGCCGCCACGGUAAUACGUAGGGUGCAAGCGUUAAUCGGAAUUACUGGGCGUAAAGCGUGCGCAGGCGGUUUCGUAAGACAGAUGUGAAAUCCCCAGGCUUAACCUGGGAACUGCAUUUGUGACUGCGAGGCUAGAGUGUGUCAGAGGGGGGUGGAAUUCCACGUGUAGCAGUGAAAUGCGUAGAUAUGUGGAGGAACACCGAUGGCGAAGGCAGCCCCCUGGGAUAACACUGACGCUCAUGCACGAAAGCGUGGGGAGCAAACAGGAUUAGAUACCCCUGUAGUCCCUGUCUCUUAUAC
rnacentral:rRNA from 1 species